rnacentral:rRNA from 1 species
AGUGUAGCUCAUAUUUUUUAAUUUUAGUUUGGUUAAGUUAGAAAGGGCGCACGGUGGAUGCCUUGACACUAGGAGUCGAUGAAGGACGGGACUAACGCCGAUAUGCUUCGGGGAGCUGUAAGUAAGCUUUGAUCCGAAGAUUUCCGAAUGGGGAAACCCACCAUACGUAAUGGUAUGGUAUCCUUAUCUGAAUACAUAGGGUAAGGAAGACAGACCCAGGGAACUGAAACAUCUAAGUACCUGGAGGAAGAGAAAGCAAAUGCGAUUUCCUGAGUAGCGGCGAGCGAAACGGAACAUAGCCCAAACCAAGAGGCUUGCCUCUUGGGGUUGUAGGACAUUCUAUACGGAGUUACAAAGGAACGAGGUAGACGAAGCGACCUGGAAAGGUCCGUCGUAGAGGGUAACAACCCCGUAGUCGAAACUUCGUUCUCUCUUGAAUGUAUCCUGAGUACGGCGGAACACGUGAAAUUCCGUCGGAAUCUGGGAGGACCAUCUCCCAAGGCUAAAUACUCCCUAGUGAUCGAUAGUGAACCAGUACCGUGAGGGAAAGGUGAAAAGCACCCCGGAAGGGGAGUGAAAGAGAUCCUGAAACCGUGUGCCUACAAAUAGUCAGAGCCCGUUAACGGGUGAUGGCGUGCCUUUUGUAGAAUGAACCGGCGAGUUACGAUCCCGUGCGAGGUUAAGCUGAAGAGGCGGAGCCGCAGCGAAAGCGAGUCUGAAUAGGGCGUUUAGUACGUGGUCGUAGACCCGAAACCAGGUGAUCUACCCAUGUCCAGGGUGAAGUUCAGGUAACACUGAAUGGAGGCCCGAACCCACGCACGUUGAAAAGUGCGGGGAUGAGGUGUGGGUAGCGGAGAAAUUCCAAUCGAACCUGGAGAUAGCUGGUUCUCCCCGAAAUAGCUUUAGGGCUAGCCUUAAGUGUAAGAGUCUUGGAGGUAGAGCACUGAUUGGACUAGGGGUCCUCAUCGGAUUACCGAAUUCAGUCAAACUCCGAAUGCCAAUGACUUAUCCUUAGGAGUCAGACUGCGAGUGAUAAGAUCCGUAGUCAAAAGGGAAACAGCCCAGACCGCCAGCUAAGGUCCCAAAGUGUGUAUUAAGUGGAAAAGGAUGUGGAGUUGCUUAGACAACUAGGAUGUUGGCUUAGAAGCAGCCACCAUUUAAAGAGUGCGUAAUAGCUCACUAGUCGAGUGACUCUGCGCCGAAAAUGUACCGGGGCUAAAUACACCACCGAAGCUGCGGAUUGAUACCAAUGGUAUCAGUGGUAGGGGAGCGUUCUAAGGACAGUGAAGUCAGACCGUAAGGACUGGUGGAGUGCUUAGAAGUGAGAAUGCCGGUAUGAGUAGCGAAAGACGGGUGAGAAUCCCGUCCACCGAAUGCCUAAGGUUUCCUGAGGAAGGCUCGUCCGCUCAGGGUUAGUCAGGACCUAAGCCGAGGCCGACAGGCGUAGGCGAUGGACAACAGGUUGAUAUUCCUGUACCACCUCUUUAUCGUUUGAGCAAUGGAGGGACGCAGAAGGAUAGAAGAAGCGUGCGAUUGGUUGUGCACGUCCAAGCAGUUAGGUUGAUAAGUAGGCAAAUCCGCUUAUCGUAAAGGCUGAGCUGUGAUGGGGAAGCUCCUUAUGGAGCGAAGUCUUUGAUUCCCCGCUGCCAAGAAAAGCUUCUAGCGAGAUAAAAGGUGCCUGUACCGCAAACCGACACAGGUAGGCGAGGAGAGAAUCCUAAGGUGUGCGAGAGAACUCUGGUUAAGGAACUCGGCAAAAUGACCCCGUAACUUCGGGAGAAGGGGUGCUUUCUUAACGGAAAGCCGCAGUGAAUAGGCCCAAGCGACUGUUUAGCAAAAACACAGCUCUCUGCGAAGCCGUAAGGCGAAGUAUAGGGGGUGACACCUGCCCGGUGCUGGAAGGUUAAGGAGAGGGGUUAGCGUAAGCGAAGCUCUGAACUGAAGCCCCAGUAAACGGCGGCCGUAACUAUAACGGUCCUAAGGUAGCGAAAUUCCUUGUCGGGUAAGUUCCGACCCGCACGAAAGGUGUAACGAUUUGGGCACUGUCUCAACCAGAGACUCGGUGAAAUUAUAGUACCUGUGAAGAUGCAGGUUACCCGCGACAGGACGGAAAGACCCCGUGGAGCUUUACUGUAGCCUGAUAUUGAAUUUUGGUACAGUUUGUACAGGAUAGGCGGGAGCCAUUGAAACCGGAGCGCUAGCUUCGGUGGAGGCGCUGGUGGGAUACCGCCCUGACUGUAUUGAAAUUCUAACCUACGGGUCUUAUCGACCCGGGAGACAGUGUCAGGUGGGCAGUUUGACUGGGGCGGUCGCCUCCUAAAGUGUAACGGAGGCGCCCAAAGGUUCCCUCAGAAUGGUUGGAAAUCAUUCGUAGAGUGCAAAGGCAUAAGGGAGCUUGACUGCGAGACCUACAAGUCGAGCAGGGACGAAAGUCGGGCUUAGUGAUCCGGUGGUUCCGCAUGGAAGGGCCAUCGCUCAACGGAUAAAAGCUACCCCGGGGAUAACAGGCUUAUCUCCCCCAAGAGUCCACAUCGACGGGGAGGUUUGGCACCUCGAUGUCGGCUCAUCGCAUCCUGGGGCUGUAGUCGGUCCCAAGGGUUGGGCUGUUCGCCCAUUAAAGCGGUACGCGAGCUGGGUUCAGAACGUCGUGAGACAGUUCGGUCCCUAUCCGUCGUGGGCGUAGGAAAUUUGAGAGGAGCUGUCCUUAGUACGAGAGGACCGGGAUGGACGCACCGCUGGUGUACCAGUUGUUCUGCCAAGGGCAUAGCUGGGUAGCUAUGUGCGGAAGGGAUAAGUGCUGAAAGCAUCUAAGCAUGAAGCCCCCCUCAAGAUGAGAUUUCCCAUAGCGUAAGCUAGUAAGAUCCCUGAAAGAUGAUCAGGUUGAUAGGUUCGAGGUGGAAGCAUGGUGACAUGUGGAGCUGACGAAUACUAAUAGAUCGAGGACUUAACCAU